rnacentral:rRNA from 1 species
CUGGCGACCGGCGCACGGGUGAGCAACACGUAUCCAACCUGCCGAUAACUCGGGGAUAGCCUUUCGAAAGAAAGAUUAAUACCCGAUGGCAUAAUUAGACCGCAUGGUUUGAUUAUUAAAGAAUUUCGGUUAUCGAUGGGGAUGCGUUCCAUUAGGCAGUUGGUGAGGUAACGGCUCACCAAACCUUCGAUGGAUAGGGGUUCUGAGAGGAAGGUCCCCCACAUUGGAACUGAGACACGGUCCAA